AUCGUUUGCAUCCCUAGUAAUAGUAGUAAUAAAGCUGCCGGUUGUUAUUGCACUUGGACAACUUUUGUUUUGGGUGGGUUUCGAAAUUAAAUUUUGUUGUUGAGUGCUGCAGUCGAUAGUUUAAAAGUUUGUGAUAAGUUAUGCCUAACUGUUAUCGAAAACUAUUUAACUAUUAAAUUACUCAGUACUUUUAAGAAAGUUGUCGCACUUUCAGAAAGAAUGAUCAGGACAUUGCUUGCAUUUGGUGUUGGUGUCUAUGCAGGCAUUUAUGUGAGUCAAAAUUAUGAGGUCCCUAGAGUUGAUGAGCCAUCCAAGAUAUGGGACAGAGUGAAAGAUUUCAUGGACCAGCAUAAAAAAGAUAAAUAAUGUUAACUUUCUGAGCACCAGGUACCAUUGACUCCAGGUAAACCUUGCCAGAAGUCUUGCCUCUGUGAAGAUACAACAUCUCAGCAGAUAUUAAAUUUUAUAGCACUACUUCCAUGUAUUUAUGCCAUGUCUUAUAGUUGGUGUAAUUAUGUUAAUUGAUACUGUUAAAAUGUACAGGUUACCAAUGUUUUUGUGUGUGGAUUAUUUUGUAGUGUGUUUGUGAAUGAUUACUGUAUAUAUUAUUUGUUUAUAUAGUUAAUUUUAAUAUAUUGUAGGAUUGCUAUAA